UACAGAGGGUGCGAGCGUUAAUCGGAAUUACUGGGCGUAAAGCGCGCGUAGACGGUUUUGUAAGUCAGAUGUGAAAUCCCUGGGCUCAACCUGGGAACUGCAUUUGAAACUGCAUGGCUAGAGUAUGGAAGAGGGAAGUGGAAUUUCCGGUGUAGCGGUGAAAUGCGUAGAUAUCGGGAGGAACAUCAGUGGCGAAGGCGGCUAUCUGGACUGUGAUUGACGCUGAGGCGCGAAAGCGUGGGGAGUAAACAGG
rnacentral:rRNA from 1 species